CCGGGUUUGGGGAGUGUAAUGAUGUGUGCCAAAAGGAGGUCUGUUGGGAGCGUCUUGUUCUGAGUGGCCUCGUUGAAUAGGGAGGUCAGUGAGGGGGCUAGUUGAGUUGCGAACUUUUUGUAGUACGUAUUCGUAAAUCCGUCUGGGCCUGGUGCUUUGUUUUUAGGCAGGGUGCGUAUGGCUUCAAUCACUUCACUUGUUGUGACUCGGUUGGCUAGUUGGGCCGAUUGGUCUCUCGUGAGAGUCGGGAGGGGUAUGUCUCUUAAGUAGGUCUCUAUCUCUUUGUCCGCGGGGGUAGGUGAUUGGUUGGAUUGUGCCAGAUUAUAUAGUUUAUCAUAGUAGUUAGCGAACGUGUUGCUGAUAUCGAUGGGGGAGAUUACUUUUUUGUUAUCGUGGGUGAAGAUGUGUGAGAUCUUUGUGUUAGCUUCUUUUCUUUUCAGUCUUGCGGCUAACGUUUUGCUGGCUUUGUUUCCCUGGGCGUAGUGUGUGGAGUUAAGUUUGCGAAGAUUAAACCCUACUCGUUCUAAAGUGUGAAGUUUGAUCUUAUCCGCAAUGUCUUUAAUGGCUUUCUGUGUUGUCACCGUCGGAAGGGUUUUGUUCACUGUCGUAAGAUCCGCUAGUUGUUUGUGCCAUGCCAGCCACUGGGUUUGGCUGGAACGUUUUAGUUGUGC